rnacentral:rRNA from 1 species
UACGUAGGGCGCAAGCUUUGUCCGGAAUUAUUGGGCGUAAAGAGCUCGUAGGCGGCUUGUCACGUCGGGUGUGAAAGCCCGGGGCUCAACCCCGGGAUGCCGCCCGAGACUGGGUCGCUUGAGGACGGAAGAGGGGAGUGGAAUUCCUGGUGUAGCGGUGAAAUGCGUAGAGAUCAGGAGGACCACCCGUGGCGAAGGCGGCUCCCUGGUCCGUUUCUGACGCUGAGACGCGA